CACUCAUCCCUACAGAGAAAAUCAUAUAGAGAACUCAAAGCAGUUGAAAAAAGAAAACCCAGGAAAGUAAAACCUUUCUGAGCAACAACUUAAACACCAGUAAAAUUCAAAAGACGAGAAGCAGUUUGGGCACCAAGCAGUGAACAUCCCGGUCAACACUGGAGGGGAGAACAGAUAGACAACUUGACUUAAAGUUAACACCCAGCACACCAUGGGGAAAGAGCCCAGUAGAAGAGACCAAUCAAUAUUUUACUCGACUUGCUCCAACAUCUCCAGGAAGUCCAGACACACCCUCUUCACCAUCUGUUAUGCAGUCUUCAAGUCCACUCCCACUACAGGCUUCACACCAAGCAUCUGUCAGACAUCGAAGGGAACCAAUUACGGUGCAAACCUAUGAUGAUGUGGUUUCAUCACGUCUGUC